GGAACGGUAAUUUAGAAGGUUAAAAUGUUGAUCUGUCACGUCAAGUAGCGCGGGUUCAAAUCCCGUCCGUUUCG
rnacentral:tRNA from 1 species